UACGGAGGGGGCUAGCGUUGUUCGGAAUUACUGGGCGUAAAGCGCACGUAGGCGGCUUUGUAAGUUAGAGGUGAAAGCCUGGAGCUCAACUCCGGAACUGCCUUUAAGACUGCAUCGCUUGAACGUCGGAGAGGUAAGUGGAAUUCCGAGUGUAGAGGUGAAAUUCGUAGAUAUUCGGAAGAACACCAGUGGCGAAGGCGACUUACUGGACGACUGUUGACGCUGAGGUGCGAAAGCGUGGGGAGCAAACAGG
rnacentral:rRNA from 1 species